rnacentral:rRNA from 1 species
AGCGGCGGACGGGUGAGUAAUGCAUAGGGAUCUGCCCGAUAGUGGGGGAUAACCUGGGGAAACCCAGGCUAAUACCGCAUACGUCCUACGGGAGAAAGGGGGCUCCGGCUCCCGCUAUGGGAUGAGCCUAUGUCGGAUUAGCUAGUUGGUGAGGUAACGGCUUACCAAGGCCACGAUCCGUAGCUGGUCUGAGAGGAUGAUCAGCCACAUCGGGACUGAGACACGGCCCGAACUCCUACGGGAGGCAGCAGUGGGGAAUAUUGGACAAUGGGGGAAACCCUGAUCCGGCCAUGCCGCGUGUGUGAAGAAGGCCCUCGGGUUGUAAAGCACUUUCAGCGGGGAAGAACGCCUAGCGGUUAAUACCCGCUAGGAAAGACAUCACUCGCAAAAGAAGCACCGGCUAACUCCGUGCCAGCAGCCGCGGUAAUACGGAGGGUGCAAGCGUUAAUCGGAAUUACUGGGCGUAAAGCGCGCGUAGGUGUCUUGAUAAGCCGGUUGUGAAAGCCCCGGGCUCAACCUGGGAACGGCAUCCGGAACUGUCAAGCUAGAGUGCAGGAGAGGAAGGUAGAAUUCCCGGUGUAGCGGUGAAAUGCGUAGAGAUCGGGAGGAAUACCAGUGUCGAAGGCGGCCUUCUGGACUGACACUGACACUGAGGUGCGAAAGCGUGGGUAGCAAACAGGAUUAGAUACCCUGGUAGUCCACGCCGA